CCGAAGGGAUGACACUCCGAUCUUUUGAGUUUAAUCUUUUUUUAAUCUUUUUGAAUCAUUCUGAAUCUUUUUGAAUCUUCUCGAAUCACGCAUACAAAAACUAGAGAAACUUUCGCUUCAGUGUAUUGAAAGUACCUGUCAAACCAGGAACUUCGUUCGCGCGCGGGUGAAAACAAACAUGUGCUUUCGACCGAAAUCACCGGCUCCGAUCCCGAAACUUUAUGGAGAUACGUCCCUCGGGGAAGCGCUAAACAUCUCCCAGAAGAGUUGUUCGCCACCGCGACGGAGGAAACGCCGAUGACGGUGGAAUACAUUUCCGUUGAGCUACGAGGACGAACAAAGACCGUUGGAAACGGCCUAAACCUACAAUCACCGGCGGUCGAACGCCUGCAGCGUAAAUUUCCCGUACACAGAAUGCAGCAGGGCACUGCAGUGAUGGCUGCAGAACUCCGUUACUGUAUCACCGGGUGUGCUGUUCCUGGCAAUGGAAAAAAGCAAUUCGAAACACCUAGCUCUUAUCAAAUUUGAAAGCACUUCUUGCAACCAUGGCUAGCUAAUGGCGCCAUAUACAUAAUUAAAAAACCUACUUGGAGCAGCUACUGUCUCAUCCAUCAAAUGACUAAUAUUUUUAUACAUACUUUUGUGUAAUAUUCAUUAAAAAUUCGGUGGGUGG